CGCGUGGCGAACGGGUGCGUAACACGUGGAUAACCUUCCUUCAGGUGGGGAAUAACCCAGUGAAAAUUGGGCUAAUACCGCAUAACAUGACGAUGUCACAUGGCGUUGCCUUCAAAGCCGCAAGGCGCCAGAAGAGGGAUCCGCGGCCGAUUAGCUUGUUGGCGAGGUAAUGGCUCACCAAGGCAUUGAUCGGUAGCCGGACUGAGAGGUUGGCCGGUCACACUGGAACUGAGACACGGUCCAGACUCCUACGGGAGGCAGCAGUGGGGAAUCUUGCACAAUGGACGAAAGUCUGAUGCAGCAACGCCGCGUGGGGGAUGAAGCUUCUCGGAGUGUAAACCCCCUUCGACCCGGAAGAAUGCCCGCGAGGGCUUGACGGUACGGGUAUAAGAAGCCCCGGCUAACUACGUGCCAGCAGCCGCGGUAAUACGUAGGGGGCCAGCGUUGCUCGGAAUUACUGGGCGUAAAGGGUCCGUAGGCGGUGUGGCAAGUCGGGAGUGAAAUCUCUGGGCUUAACCCAGAGGCUGCUUCCGA
rnacentral:rRNA from 1 species